rnacentral:lncRNA from 1 species
UUCCAAGUAAAAAUUUAAGUUUUUCCCCAUAAGACCCAAGUUUAAUUCUAAAAAAAAUUAAGGAAAUUUAAAAAAAUACCAAAAUAAAAACUUACUAAAGAGUUAAGUGACUAAAAUACUGUAUAAUAACAUUGCCUAACCCCAAAUUAAUGGCAAGUGAUCAAAGUGAAAAUGAUUUGUAACAAGGGUGCCCUUUGUGCAAUUUUAAAUUUUUCGUCACCCAAAAUAAAAACUUGUAAAAGUUGGUUACCAAUGUGUACUUUACCCGAAUAGAAAAGCUAAAACAAGAUAUUUCUCUCAGCUUCCCUAUAGGUGUAAGGCAUGCUUAGUUUCGUUCCUUAGCUCUUAUUUUCCAGUCCUGUUAAAAAGUUUCAAAAGCUCAACAACAGUAUGCCACUGUGGAAUUUUCUUAACAUUCCUAUGUAAACAUUCAUUAACGGGAUACAAAGUCUUUUCAGUUAUUCCUAUACUUCAGUCUCAACUAUGGGAUUCUCAACAUCAAAACAUGUUAACAGCUUCAUCGUUGACCACUAGUAUACAUACCUGUGUAAACAUUCAUUCCAAUACACAAGUGAGGUAAUUCACUCUAAUUUUUUUCUAAUCUUUUUACUUACAUUUUCUACAUGGUGUCAGAGCCUUCUCUUCAAACCCUAGAAAUAAGUGUUUUUUGGUACUUACUAUCUUAGCCUCUGUUUCUUCUCCACCGCCCUUAGAAGUGUCGGAACACCAUCCCCGACGAACCCCUAAAGUUUGGUGUCUAUCAAGCCUGCCCCUGAGUCUGACACACCACCAAUAGUAUUUUGCAAUAUCUUUCACACGUCGGAGCAUGACGCCCACCUCGUCAAAAUUCUGACUUCUGCUUGCUUUUACCAGUCUUGUAGCCAUAUUUUCUACAACCCUUUACUUCAUUGAGUCCAAGUAGUGUUGAUUCAAAAGUCACUUUUUUUAACUAAUAUAUUUGGCUACUGUAAGUAUCUUAUUAAAAGAACUUUUGUGUUUGAAUUUCAAAUCUUUUAGAAUGGCAGAAAAGAAAAUUGUUGCAAUUAGUUCAGAUAAUCCCUACAACCUUCUAGCUUACACUAAGAUGUUUUUUCAAAUGAAAUUCAGAAUCUCAAGCAUCUUCUGUCCCAAAUUGAUUCCAAUGCAACAUCUAAUUUUGUGAAGUCAAGUAAUGCAUUUAAUGCGUAUCUAAUUAACAAAAUGCCUCUCAAAAGCUCUUCAUUUCAAGAGUCUCUUAGAAGUUUUAGACGGGAAAAGAGAUUAUACAGCUCCUCCAAAAGUAUUUGGAUGUAUUUGUUUUGUUCAUACUGAGAGUGUUGGAAAGUUGGAUCCACAGGCCUUUAAAUGCAUAUUUAUUGGGUGUUCUCCUAUAGAAAAAAGGUUAAAAGUGUUAUCAUCCUCCAUCCAGAAGGUAUUUAUGAACAUUGCUUUCAAAGAAAAUGAAUCUUAUUUUGGCACAAUCCAAUCACCUCUUCGGGAGAGAAUGGAAGAGAAGGGUUGAUGACUAUGCCUAGUUCUGUUACAUUGGAAGAUUUUAUUCGAAGAAAAGAUCCUAUUCACUGGGAGACUAUUGGGGGCUUGGUUAAACCGGAUUUAAGAACUUACUCAAAAGAGGAGUAUGGCAUACGAAGCCAUCUUGCAUCCUACUCAGUGCCAAAAAUCUUAUUUUCCUAGUGAGUCAUUUUAUGAUCCCAAUUCAACUAGUGAUUUAGAUUUAUCCAUUGCUCAAAGAAAAGGUGUCAAGAUUUGAACUAAACCUUCUAUAUCUAAUUUUAUUCAUUAUGAUUCCUCGAGUCCUUUCUAUAGAGCCUUUGUCUUAUCCUUAUCAUUUAUUUGUGUCUAUUCCAAAAGAUUAGCAGGAAGCCUUCAAUGAUCCAAGAUGGAAAUGAGGGCUUUAGCAAAGAACGAGACUUGAGA